rnacentral:rRNA from 1 species
UACGUAGGGGGCAAGCGUUGUCCGGAUUCAUUGGGCGUAAAGAGCGUGUAGGCGGCCUGAAAGGUCAGCUGUGAAAACUCGGGGCUCAACCCCGAGACGUCGGUUGAAACCAUCUGGCUAGAGUCCGGAAGAGGAGUGUGGAAUUCCCGGUGUAGCGGUGAAAUGCGCAGAUAUCAGGAAGAACACCCGUGGCGAAGGCGGCUCUCUGGGACGGUACUGACGCUGAGACGCGAAAGCGUGGGGAGCGAACAGG